GACAUGACUCUCGGCAAUGGAUAUCUUGGCUCUUGCAUCGAUGAAGAGCGCAGUGAAAUGCGAUACGUGGUGCGAAUUGCAGAAUCCCGCGAAC
rnacentral:rRNA from 2 species